GUCCUCGGCAGUAGUAAUCAACCUUUGAAUCUUAUUUUUCAGGGUACAGGUAAGAUAACAAUUGUACAGAAUCAUAAGUAGCAUUACAAAUACAACUAUUACCAACGGAUAGAAGAAUGAUCUAACAAUUUGAGCACCUGUGGGGGACCAACCUGUGAAUAUAUCAUACCAGUGAUGAGCCAAGUCAUCCUGGAUUUAUGAACUUACUUUCAAUAGUUUGCUCUUGAGAAGGUGUGUGGCAAUUAGUGUAUGGAUAAUGUCCUUUUCAUGUGUUCUAAAAUAUUUGAACAUAUCCAUUCUAGCUUUUAUCAACGCAGUUAUAUUUUCUUUGGGUAACUGAUAAUCGUCUAGUGGCAAUUUUGGAGGAAUAUACAUCAUGGUUCUAUCAAUGGUAGAUUUGUCUUGGAAAUAAUAUGGUGAAUUGGGAAAAUAUGUUCCCAUGACUGGGACAGAUAUGAAUACAAAGAUCUAUCAUUAGUAUUACUAGUUAUUUCCAUGGCACAAUUCCCUUCUGUGAACAUCUUGAACUGUUGUGUAUAUGGUUUUCUGGUAUAUGUGCAAAUAUAACCAGGUAUAUAUAAUACCCAAGUAGCCACAGCCUUCCCCUUACUGUUCAGUUCAAUUUGAUACUCAUGGGGAUCUUCAGAUGUGCAUUCAGUAUCUGGGGAACAGGGGUGUCUUACACUAGAUGAAAAGUUAAGGCCUAAUUGGGCUCCAGAGGAUAAUGAAGAAUUGUCCAUUGUUUCUUUGGUCUCUUGAAGAGAUCCAUUAUGUUUCCAAAAGCACACUGGUUUCAGAUUGCCUAAGUUCUCUUAUUCAUAAUGGCAAUCCAGAUAGCUAGUAAAAGGCAAUACAAAGAUAAAGGUGAUGACUGCCAAAAUUAUGAUUUUGCUUUUUAUGAGGUGGCCACUUUGUCUUUU